UUAAUGCGUUACUGGCAGCACUAAGGGGCGGAAACCCCCUAACACUUAGCACUCAUCGUUUACGGCGUGGACUACCAGGGUAUCUAAUCCUGUUUGCUCCCCACGCUUUCGCGCCUCAGCGUCAGUUACAGACCAGAAAGCCGCCUUCGCCACUGGUGUUCCUCCACAUAUCUACGCAUUUCACCGCUACACGUGGAAUUCCGCUUUCCUCUUCUGUACUCAAGUCCCCCAGUUUCCAAUGACCCUCCACGGUUGAGCCGUGGGCUUUCACAUCAGACUUAAAGGACCGCCUGCGCGCGCUUUACGCCCAAUAAUUCCGGACAACGCUUGCCACCUACGUAUUACCGCGGCUGCUGGCACGUAUUAGCCGUGGCUUUCUAAUAAGGUACCGUCAAGGUACGAGCAGUUACUCUCGUACGUGUUCUUCCCUUACAACAGAGUUUUACGAUCCGAAAACCUUCUUCACUCACGCGGCGUUGCUCCAUCAGACUUUCGUCCAUUGUGGAAGAUUCCCUACUGCUGCCUCCCGUAGAGUCUGGGCCGUGUCUCAGUCCCAGUGUGGCCGAUCACCCUCUCAGGUCGGCUACGCAUCGUUGCCUUGGUAGGCCGUUACCCUACCAACUAGCUAAUGCGCCGCGGGCCCAUCUUGUAGUGACAGCSGAAGCCGCCUUUUAACAUMUUGCCAURAAGCAAAAUAGRUUAUUCUGUAUUAUCCCCGGUUUCCCGGAGUUAUCCAAUCUAAAGGUAGG
rnacentral:rRNA from 1 species